UACGUAGGGGGCAAGCGUUGUCCGGAUUUAUUGGGCGUAAAGCGCUCGCAGGCGGCUCGAUGCGUCGUGCGUGAAACACCCCGGCUCAACUGGGGAGGGUCGUGCGAUACGGUCGAGCUUGAGGCCAGUAGGGGGAUGCGGAAUUCCGGGUGUAGUGGUGGAAUGCGUAGAGAUUGGGAAGAACACCGGUGGCGAAAGCGCUCUGCUGGGCCGCAACUGACACUAAUGGACGAAAGCUAGGGGAGCGAAUGGG
rnacentral:rRNA from 1 species